rnacentral:rRNA from 1 species
GAUGAACGCUGGCGGCGUGCUUAACACAUGCAAGUCGAACGAAGCACUUUAAUCGAUUUCUUCGGAUUGAAAUUUUAGUGACCGAGUGGCGGACGGGCGAGUAACGCGUGGGUAACCUGCCUCACACAGGGGGAUAACAGUUGGAAACGGCUGCUAAUACCGCAUAAGCGCACAGUACCGCAUGGUACGGUGUGAAAAACUCCGGUGGUGUGAGAUGGACCCGCGUCUGAUUAGCUAAUUGGCAGGGCAGCGGCCUACCAAGGCGACGAUCAGUAGCCGACCUGAGAGGGUGACCGGCCACAUUGGGACUGAGACACGGCCCAAACUCCUACGGGAGGCAGCAGUGGGGAAUAUUGCACAAUGGGGGAAACCCUGAUGCAGCGACGCCGCGUGAGCGAAGAAGUAUUUCGGUAUGUAAAGCUCUAUCAGCAGGGAAGAAGAAAUGACGGUACCUGACUAGGAAGCGCCGGCUAAAUACGUGCCAGCAGCCGCCGUAA